UUUACUCAGGUGGUGUGGAAAAGCAGCACUGAGCUGGGUGUGGGCAUAGCCACUGAUGGCAAUACGGUCUUUGUGGUUGGGCAGUACCGCCCAGCUGGUAACAUUACCAAUGCAGGAUACUAUCAGAAAAAUGUCCUCCCAAAAGGAACAGAACUUUCCUCCACAAAUGAGGAAGACUCUGAAGCAGGUUGCAAAGCAGCAAACCAGGUGACAGGUAAGUGC